GCGGUCUUCCGGGCCGCUGGGCCGGGAGGUGCCGAGGGGGCGGCGUCCAGCCGCGCCCUCAGGAGCUACCCCGGUUAGGGAGGUGCUGUCCUGGCGUCGGGUGGGGACGGGGAGCGCGUCGAGGGUGCUGCGACUUCUGCCCACCUGGCCCGGCCUCAGUCUCUGAGUUCCUGUUCCUCACAGGAGCUAAUUAUUUAUGACAGCUGCAAGGUGCCCCUCCCCCAGUUACUCAGUGCUUGGCACUCAGCACCCCUUAACUCAGCACUCAGUACCGCACUCAGCCUCUGAGGACCUGGGCAGAGGGAAGCAGGGAGUCUCCUGCGGAAACUCUUGCUCUGCCAAAGGCCUGGACAGCGAAUGAGGAAGACUUACUGCAGAAAUUCAGAGCCUAGCAACCUGGACCAGGGUGGAGGCAGCAGACGAGGUGAGAGGGAUGCUUAAACGAAGACUUAAAAUGGAGGAGAGGACCCCUACUUUGCAAAGAAAUUUUGUGGCUGUCUUAUCCGUGAGUCAAGAUUUACAAGAACUCAUCAGAAGAAAUGGGUAGACAUGAAACUGGAAUUAGCUUGAGGAGAAUUACAGGGUAUCGUGGGGAAUUUAAGUCCACGGAUAAAAAUAAUAUCACCCUCCUGAAUAUUUCAACCUUUUACAACCUAUCACCACUUCAA